rnacentral:rRNA from 1 species
AGAGUUUGAUCCUGGCUCAGGACGAACGCUGGCGGCGUGCCUAACACAUGCAAGUCGAGCGGAGAUACGAAGUAAUUUAUUAUGGAGUAUCUCAGCGGCGGACGGGUGAGUAACGCGUGGGCAACCUGCCUUACAGAGGGGGAUAACAGUGCGAAAGCACUGCUAAUACCGCAUGACAUUGUUGGAUUGCAUGAUCUGACAAUCAAAGGAGAAAUCCGCUGUAAGAUGGGCCCGCGUCUGAUUAGCUAGUUGGUGAGGUAAAGGCUUACCAAGGCGACGAUCAGUAGCCGAUCUGAGAGGAUGACCGGCCACACUGGAACUGAGACACGGUCCAGACUCCUACGGGAGGCAGCAGUGGGAAAUAUUGCACAAUGGGGGAAACCCUGAUGCAGCAACGCCGCGUGGAGGAUGAAGGUCUUCGGAUUGUAAACUCCUUUGAUCGGGGAUGAAUAAUGACAGUACCCGAAAAACAAGCCACGGCUAACUACGUGCCAGCAGCCGCGGUAAUACGUAGGUGGCAAGCGUUGUCCGGAAUUAUUGGGCGUAAAGGGCGCGUAGGCGGUUCUUUAAGUCAGAUGUGAAAUCCCGAGGCUCAACUUCGGGCGUGCAUUUGAAACUGGGGGACUAGAGUGCAGGAGAGGUAAGUGGAAUUCCUAGUGUAGCGGUGAAAUGCGUAGAUAUUAGGAGGAACACCAGUGGCGAAGGCGACUUACUGGACUGUAACUGACGCUGAGGCGCGAAAGCGUGGGGAGCAAACAGGAUUAGAUACCCUGGUAGUCCAA